rnacentral:lncRNA from 1 species
CUCUCCAAGGAUCCCUGUGGUGCCAGGCAGGAAUGGGCUGCUUGGGGACCCAGGGAGCUCCCAAGGUCUUUCCUGCUGCUUCCUCUACCCCUGUAUUUCGUUCGGCUGUCUAGACUGACUCAACUUCAGGCCCUCCGUGCAUGCCAUGCUUAAUAAGGUAAUAAAAAGGUAAGAUUAUAAAGAAGAAAGAGGCCUAUCAAGGAAAGAAGGCUCUUUAUUUGCUUUGCUGUCAUGGUAUCCUUCCCAUUCCACUGGCUUCCAGCACAUAUGUG